GUGAAUCAUCGAAUUUUUGAACGGAAAUUGCACUCUCUUCGGUGCGUAUGCGUGCUUGAGUGUCAGCCUAAAAAAAUCGACAUGGUUGCUUUUUCGCGGCGUCCUUCGUCGGAAAUUGGGUCAUCUUAAACGUUUGGGUUUUAAGCGGAUUAAAGUUUUCUUUACGAUUCCACGAACGCUUCUAAAUUUUACGUCUUACGUUUAUGGUAUCGCUUUUUAUUAGACUUGUCCGUUGCAUCGGGUUACGUUCAUAUAUAUUUAGUUAACUGAUCUCAUACAGGUCUG
rnacentral:misc_RNA from 1 species